rnacentral:rRNA from 1 species
AUUAAGCCAUGCAUGUCUAAGUACAUGCCGUAUUAAGGCGAAACCGCGAAUGGCUCAUUAAAUCAGUUACGGUUCCUUAGAUGUUGACUAUCUACAUGGAUAACUGUGGUAAUUCUAGAGCUAAUACAUGCACAAAAGCUUCGACCUUUACGGAAGAAGCGCAUUUAUUAGACCAAGACCAAUGGGGUUCUUCACGGGACUCCUCAAUGUGGUGACUCUGGAUAACUGUUGCUAAUCGCAUGGCCUAUGUGCCGGCGAUGAAUCUUUCAAGUGUCUGCCUUAUCAACUGUCGAUGGUAGGUUAUGCGCCUACCAUGGUUGUAACGGGUAACGGGGAAUCAGGGUUCGAUUCCGGAGAGGGAGCCUGAGAAACGGCUACCACAUCCAAGGAAGGCAGCAGGCACGCAAAUUACCCAUUCUCGGUACGAGGAGGUAGUGACGACCAAUACCAAGCCGGGGCUCUUAUGAGUUUCGGCAUUGGAAUGAGAACAAUCCAAAUCUUUUAACGAGGAACUAGUGGAGGGCAAGUCUGGUGCCAGCAGCCGCGGUAAUUCCAGCUCCGCAAAAGUAUAUCGAUAUUGCUGUGGUUAAAAAGCUCGUAGUUGGAUCUGCGUGUCCAGCACCCGGUGCGGUCUUUGACCGUUACUGGCAUGCGACACAUGACUGUCGGGUGGCGGCGGAUGCUCUUCAUCGGGUGUCCGUCGUGUCCGGCGAGUUUACUUUGAACAAACUAGAGUGCUCAACACAGGCGUUUCGCUUGAAUAUUUCUGCAUGGAAUAAUGGAAUAGGACCUCGGUUCUAUUUUGUUGGUUUUCGGAAGUGAGGUAAUGAUUAAGAGGGACUGACGGGGGCAUUCGUACUGCGACGUGAGAGGUGAAAUUCUUGGAUCGUCGCAAGACGCACUACUGCGAAGGCAUUUGCCAAGAAUGUUUUCAUUAAUCAAGAACGAAAGUAACGGGUUCGAAGGCGAUCAGAUACCGCCCUAGUCGUUACCGUAAACUAUAGCGACAGGGAGGUUGCACGUGUUUUCGAUGACCGUGUAACAACCCAACCUGAAAAGAAGUCUUUGGCUUCCAGGGGGAAUAUGCGUCGCAAGUCUGAAACUUAAAGGAAUUGACGGAAGGGCACCACCAGGGGUGGAGCCUGCGGCUUAAUUUGACUCAACACGGGGAAACUCACCCGGCCCGGACACCGGAAGGAUUGACAGAUUGAGAGCUCUUUCUUGAUUCGGUGGGUGGUGGUGCAUGGCCGUUCUUAGUUGGUGGAGUGAUUUGUCUGGUUAAUUCCGAUAACGAACGAGAUUCUGGGCUACUCACGUAGUACACGGAUCCGCUAGUCCGCGAACUUCUUAGAGCGACAAGCAGCGUUUAGCUGCAUGAAAAAGAGCAAUAACAGGUCUGUGAUGCCCUUAGAUGUCCGGGGCUGCACGCGCGCUACACUGAAGGAAUCAGCGUGUGGGACUGCCUGGCUCGAAAGAGUUGGGUAAUCCGGUGAAAAUCCUUCGUGAUUGGGAUCGGGACUUGCAAUUAUUUCCCUUGAACGAGGUAUCCCUAGUAAGUACGGGUCAUCAGCUCGUGCUGAUUACGUCCCUGCCCUUUGUACACACCGCCCGUCGCUGCCCGGAACUGAGCCAUUUCGAG